UGAGUAAUGUCUGGGAAACUGCCCGAUGGAGGGGGAUAACUACUGGAAACGGUAGCUAAUACCGCAUAACGUCGCAAGACCAAAGUGGGGGACCUUCGGGCCUCACACCAUCGGAUGUGCCCAGAUGGGAUUAGCUAGUAGGUGGGGUAAUGGCUCACCUAGGCGACGAUCCCUAGCUGGUCUGAGAGGAUGACCAGCCACACUGGAACUGAGACACGGUCCAGACUCCUACGGGAGGCAGCAGUGGGGAAUAUUGCACAAUGGGCGCAAGCCUGAUGCAGCCAUGCCGCGUGUAUGAGGAAGGCCUUCGGGUUGUAAAGUACUUUCAGCGGGGAGGAAGGCGGUGGAGUUAAUAACUUCACCGAUUGACGUUACCCGCAGAAGAAGCACCGGCUAACUCCGUGCCAGCAGCCGCGGUAAUACGGAGGGUGCAAGCGUUAAUCGGAAUUACUGGGCGUAAAGCGCACGCAGGCGGUCUGUCAAGUCGGAUGUGAAAUCCCCGGG
rnacentral:rRNA from 1 species